UGAGUGGAGACUCCUAAUAAGCUUCCACAUAAAAAACCUAAAUUCUUCAAAAUGGCUUGAUUGCUACAAUUAAAUGGCUUCCUCUGCAUCUUCCAGCCAUGCCUGCAAAGAGGCCACAGUGGAGGUGUACCUCUCCCAGUUGGACAGCACUUCCUCCAGCAUGCUCCUCACGCUGCGCACUUCCAUGGACAGACUCCUCCACUGAGUCACCACCUCCCGCAUGAACCUGCGCACUCCCAUCUCGCCUUCAUCCACUGGAAGAGAGGCAGCCAAUCAGAAACCACGAUGCUAACUACAGUACCAGCAGGACCUGCUGCAUUUCAUUUGUGGGGUCGACCAAUCAAACCUCAGAUGUCCUGAUUUCUCACCACACCUCACUUCUCUGCUCUGCAUACCCUAAAGCAAUGCAACCCUGAAACCUAAUGAAACCAACAAGCUAGCUCAGUUUGCGCCCAGAGACCUGCAGAAGUGGAGCAGCCCCCCAACUAGCAAAUGGGGUCGUAUUCCCCACUGAGAGCAGAGAGUGGAGGAACCUCAUUUAGCUGUAGCCUGCAGACUCUCCUCCUCUAUCAAAUUGUGAAACCAGUCAGGGGCAAACUGAGCUGCUGGCAGGGAAAGCCUCAUUGGUUACUGAGUUGUUGAAAAGGGAAAUAAAGUUGAAAUAUAGUGAACAAUUGAGAGAUACUGA